GUCUAUUGUGUAUAGGCUAAAUUUAGGAGACACUUGUGAAAAUACGCAAUGAAAAAUGAAUAAUUACAUUGAAAAUACAGGAAAUGAAAAUGAGCAUUUUACUUUAUCAAUAUUUCUUAAUGUUUCAAUGAAGUAUGUAAUAAAUUAAAAGAACUAUUGUAUUGAUUAGGAAAAGUUUUUAUUUCAGGUUUGUGAAUAAAGGCUUGUUUGUUAGAUUUCAAUUGUGGCUCAGUUGGUUGUUUGCUGAGAAGCUGUGAAACAUAAUUAUACAGGCCAUUAAGGAGGUUUUUGUCAGAUUGAUGAAUGUGAAAUUAAGAGGACCCAUUUUGAGGAUGCUUUUUAUGAAUGGAAUCACGAGAGAUGAAGUCUAAAAUGUGAUACUGUCAAUGUGACUAACCUUGAAGUAAACAGAUGACACAAUGUUUUUUCAAUGUCAUGGGCAUAUAAUGAAGAGAAAACAGAGAUGCUUGUUUGACAGAUACAGUAAUAGUAGGAGUUAUGAGGGAAGAUAGAAUGCAGUGAUAACUAUAUUGAGGCACCACUUCAUCACCAAGAACAUGAAAUGAAUUAUCAAUGUUUUCAAUGUGUUUGAACACCCAUUUUAAAUAAUACAGCUCAGAGUGAAUUUUUCAAAAUAAUUAAUUCUGUUUUCAAAGUUUUUUAUUUAGAUCUUAGUUGAUCUUGUCAAGUACUUAAUUUUUUUAGGGAUGGCAACAAUUACUAAAAUCAAUACUCGAGUACUCGGUCAUUUAGAGUAUUCGGUUACUGGGAUGAUUUCCAAUGAUCUUUAAAUUUUUAUCACACAAUAUCAACACCGUCUGCAUGCUACCUUCAUUUCUAUUUUAAUUCAUAGAAUUUGUAGCUAUAAAUAGGAUUGCAAGAAAUACAUAUAAUAAAUAUAAGCAUAAGAAAUGUCAA